GCAAGUCGAGCGGAUGAGAAGAGCUUGCUCUUCGAUUCAGCGGCGGACGGGUGAGUAAUGCCUAGGAAUCUGCCUGGUAGUGGGGGACAACGUUUCGAAAGGAACGCUAAUACCGCAUACGUCCUACGGGAGAAAGCAGGGGACCUUCGGGCCUUGCGCUAUCAGAUGAGCCUAGGUCGGAUUAGCUAGUUGGUGAGGUAAUGGCUCACCAAGGCGACGAUCCGUAACUGGUCUGAGAGGAUGAUCAGUCACACUGGAACUGAGACACGGUCCAGACUCCUACGGGAGGCAACAGUGGGGAAUAUUGGACAAUGGGCGAAAGCCUGAUCCAGCCAUGCCGCGUGUGUGAAGAAGGUCUUCGGAUUGUAAAGCACUUUAAGUUGGGAGGAAGGGCAUUAACCUAAUACGUUAGCGUUUUGACGUUACCGACAGAAUAAGCACCGGCUAACUCUGUGCCAGCAGCCGCGGUAAUACAGAGGGUGCAAGCGUUAAUCGGAAUUACUGGGCGUAAAGCGCGCGUAGGUGGUUUGUUAAGUUGGAUGUGAAAGCCCCGGGCUCAACCUGGGAACUGCAUCCAAAACUGGCAAGCUAGAGUACGGUAGAGGGUGGUGGAAUUUCCUGUGUAGCGGUGAAAUGCGUAGAUAUAGGAAGGAACACCAGUGGCGAAGGCGACCACCUGGACUGAUACUGACACUGAGGUGCGAAAGCGUGGGGAGCAAACAGGAUUAGAUACCCUGGUAGUCCACGCCGUAAACGAUGUCAACUAGCCGUUGGAAUCCUUGAGAUUUUAGUGGCGCAGCUAACGCAUUAAGUUGACCGCCUGGGGAGUACGGCCGCAAGGUUAAAACUCAAAAUGAAAUGACGGGGGCCCGCAC
rnacentral:rRNA from 1 species